CCUACGGGAGGCAGCAGUGAGGAAUAUUGGUCAAUGGACGAGAGUCUGAACCAGCCAAGUAGCGUGAAGGAUGACUGCCCUAUGGGUUGUAAACUUCUUUUAUAAAGGAAUAAAACGAGGCACGUGUGCCUUUUUGUAUGUACUUUAUGAAUAAGGAUCGGCUAACUCCGUGCCAGCAGCCGCGGUAAUACGGAGGAUCCGAGCGUUAUCCGGAUUUAUUGGGUUUAAAGGGAGCGUAGAUGGGUUGUUAAGUCAGUUGUGAAAGUUUGCGGCUCAACCGUAAAAUUGCAAUUGAUACUGGCAGUCUUGAGUACAGUUGAGGUAGGCAGAAUUCGUGGUGUAGCGGUGAAAUGCUUAGAUAUCACGAAGAACCCCGAUUGCGAAGGCAGCUUACUAAACUGUGACUGACAUUGAUGCUCGAAAGUGUGGGUAUCAAACAGGAUUAGAUACCCCUGUAGUC
rnacentral:rRNA from 1 species